rnacentral:rRNA from 1 species
ACGAACCGUACGAACGUUAUUCGGAAUCACUGGGCUUAAAGGGUGCGUAGGCUGCGCGGAAAGUUGGGUGUGAAAUCCCUCGGCUCAACCGAGGAACUGCGCCCAAAACUACCGUGCUCGAGGGAGACAGAGGUGAGCGGAACUUAGGGUGGAGCGGUGAAAUGCGUUGAUAUCCUAAGGAACACCCGUGGCGAAAGCGGCUCACUGGGUCUCUUCUGACGCUGAGGCACGAAAGCUAGGGUAGCGAACGGGAUUAGAUACCCCGGUAGUCCUAGCCGUAAACGAUGAGCACUGGGUUGGAGGGCCCCUCAUAGCCUUCCAGCCGCAGCGAAAGUGUUGAGUGCUCCGCCUGGGGAGUAUGGUCGCAAGGCUG